rnacentral:tRNA from 1 species
AGGGGUAUAGUUCAAGGGUAGAGCGCUGGUCUCCAAAACCAUCGAUGAGGGUUCGAAUCCUUCUACCCCUG